CGAACGCUGGCGGCGUGCCUAAUACAUGCAAGUAGAACGCUGAAGGAGGAGCUUGCUUCUCUGGAUGAGUUGCGAACGGGUGAGUAACGCGUAGGUAACCUGCCUGGUAGCGGGGGAUAACUAUUGGAAACGAUAGCUAAUACCGCAUAAGAGUAGAUGUUGCAUGACAUUUGCUUAAAAGGUGCAAUUGCAUCACUACCAGAUGGACCUGCGUUGUAUUAGCUAGUUGGUGAGGUAACGGCUCACCAAGGCGACGAUACAUAGCCGACCUGAGAGGGUGAUCGGCCACACUGGGACUGAGACACGGCCCAGACUCCUACGGGAGGCAGCAGUAGGGAAUCUUCGGCAAUGGACGGAAGUCUGACCGAGCAACGCCGCGUGAGGGAAGAAGGUUGUCGGAUCGUAAAGCUCUGUUGUAAGAGAAGAACGAGUGUGAGAGUGGAAAGUUCACACUGUGACGGUAUCUUACCAGAAAGGGACGGCUAACUACGUG
rnacentral:rRNA from 1 species